rnacentral:rRNA from 1 species
AUUGAACGCUGGCGGCAGGCUUAACACAUGCAAGUCGAGCGGAGACUUCGGUCUUAGCGGCGAACGGGUGAGUAAUACCUAGGAAUCUGCCUAUUAGUGGGGGAUAACGAAUCGAAAGGUUCGCUAAUACCGCAUACGUCCUACGGGAGAAAGGGGGGGAUCUUCGGACCUCUCGCUAAUAGAUGAGCCUAGGCCGGAUUAGCUAGUUGGUAGGGUAAAGGCCUACCAAGGCGACGAUCUGUAGCUGGUCUGAGAGGAUGGCCAGCCACACUGGAACUGAGACACGGUCCAGACUCCUACGGGAGGCAGCAGUGGGGGAAUAUUGGACAAUGGGGGCAACCCUGAUCCAGCCAUGCCGCGUGUGUGAAGAAGGCCUCGGUUGUAAG